rnacentral:rRNA from 1 species
CUAUACAGUGAAACUGCGAAUGGCUCAUUAAAUCAGUUAUCGUUUAUUUGAUAGUACCUUACUACUUGGAUAACCGUGGUAAUUCUAGAGCUAAUACAUGCUAAAAACCCCGACUUCGGAAGGGGUGUAUUUAUUAGAUAAAAAACCAAUGCUCUUCGGGGCUCCUUGGUGAUUCAUAAUAACUUAACGAAUCGCAUGGCCUUGUGCCGGCGAUGGUUCAUUCAAAUUUCUGCCCUAUCAACUUUCGAUGGUAGGAUAGUGGCCUACCAUGGUUUCAACGGGUAACGGGGAAUUAGGGUUCUAUUCCGGAGAGGGAGCCUGAGAAACGGCUACCACAUCCAAGGAAGGCAGCAGGCGCGCAAAUUACCCAAUCCCGACACGGGGAGGUAGUGACAAUAAAUACUGAUACAGGGCUCUUUUGAGUCUUGUAAUUGGAAUGAGUACAAUUUAAAUCCCUUAACGAGGAACAAUUGGAGGGCAAGUCUGGUGCCAGCAGCCGCGGUAAUUCCAGCUCCAAUAGCGUAUAUUAAAGUUGUUGCAGUUAAAAAGCUCGUAGUUGAACCUUGGGCCUGGCUGGCCGGUCCGCCUCACCGCGUGCACUGGUCCGGCCGGGCCUUUCCUCCUGGGGAGCCGCAUGCCCUUCACUGGGUGUGUCGGGGAACCAGGACUUUUACUUUGAAAAAAUUAGAGUGUUCAAAGCAGGCCUAUGCUCGAAUACAUUAGCAUGGAAUAAUAGAAUAGGACGUGUGGUUCUAUUUUGUUGGUUUCUAGGACC